rnacentral:rRNA from 1 species
AAUGAACGCUGGCGGCGUGCCUAACACAUGCAAGUCGAAUGUGCCGCAAGGUGCAUGGCAGACGGGUGAGUAACGCGUAGGGAAUCUACCUCUUUGUGGGGAAUAACGCUCCGAAAGGAGUGGUAAUACCGCAUGAGACCGUGGACUGGGAUGUCCAUGGUGAAACCUGGGGACCGCAAGGCCUGGGGCAAGGAGAGGAUCCUGCGUCUGAUUAGCUAGUUGGCGGGGUAAUGGCCCACCAAGGCGACGAUCAGUAGCCGGCCUGAGAGGGUGAUCGGCCACACUGGAACUGAGACACGGUCCAGACUCCUACGGGUGGCUG